UGGUGGAGCGAUUUGUCUGGUUAAUUCCGAUAACGAACGAGACUCUGGUCUAUUAAAUAGUUCGCCGAUUCCGAUCUGUCGGCGUUAACUUCUUAGAGGGACAAGUGGCUUUUAGCCACGCGAGAUUGAGCAAUAACA
rnacentral:rRNA from 1 species